rnacentral:rRNA from 1 species
UAAUACGUAGGGUGCGAGCGUUGUCCGGAAUUAUUGGGCGUAAAGAGCUUGUAGGCGGUUUGUCGCGUCUGCUGUGAAAAUCCGGGGCUCAACCCCGGACUUGCAGUGGGUACGGGCAGACUAGAGUGUGGUAGGGGAGACUGGAAUUCCUGGUGUAGCGGUGAAAUGCGCAGAUAUCAGGAGGAACACCGAUGGCGAAGGCAGGUCUCUGGGCCACUACUGACGCUGAGAAGCGAAAGCGUGGGGAGCGAACAGG